rnacentral:rRNA from 1 species
CGGACGGGUGAGUAAUGCUUGGGAAUCUAGCUUAUGGAGGGGGAUAACUACGGGAAACUGUAGCUAAUACCGCGUAAUAUCGAAAGAUUAAAGUGUGGGACCUUCGGGCCACAUGCCAUAGGAUGAGCCCAAGUGGGAUUAGGUAGUUGGUGAGGUAAAGGCUCACCAAGCCGACGAUCUCUAGCUGGUCUGAGAGGAUGACCAGCCACACUGGAACUGAGACACGGCCCAG